UUAAAAUAAAAUAGUGUAGAAACAUGACCUUGUGAUUGGAGCAAUCUUUGUUUGACCAAGGUUUCUACUUUUAUUGAUAACUACAAAAAUGAAAUUACAUCAUCAGAGAUAAAAAGAGAGGGGAUAGGGGAACCUCAUUUAGCUAUAAUGUUAGCAACACUAUUGGCUUCCCUAUAAAUAUGAGAAAAGGAAAUCGAAACUGAGGCACCAUCUACCAAGUCCAUCACCUGCAACCACAAAGACCAGAGCUCCCAAGUGAUUUUCAGUUCUUUUUUACACCAUUUAAUAAUUGAAGGAAUCAACUUCAAUCGUACAGUUACACCUCAAAUUCUUCCUUAAGAAUAUCUUCAAACCACAAAGCAACACACUUAGUUUUGCAAAAUGUGUGCUAGCAAGACCUAGCGGACCAGCAUAGGAGAAAAGAACAUUACCAGAGCAAUCUCGCAUCACGACUCCAAUCCCAGCUAAUCCUGGGUUUCCAAAGGAGCUACCAUCAGAGUUAAGUUUUAGGCUUCCUAAACACGGUGCCACCUAUAUACGUAUCGGGCUAGAGCAAUUAGAACCAAGAUAGAACAAAUUUCGUAGAUUGUCCGUCACAUCCACUUUGGAAAUACCCCUACCCUCUUUAUUCACUGACAACCACGAUCAUAUGGAACAUUUUAUGAUAUGGAUUAGCUUAUCAAAAGGACAAGAAAUCCCUGCAAAAGUUCUUUUAUUUCUUUCCUUCCAAAGCUCCUAGAGAAUCACACUUACUACAAUCUUCCAUACUACACGUCCCGUCUUGGGCACAAAUCACUGUCAUAGUCGACACAAUCCCCCCAAAGAACUAAGGAAGAACCAUUUGUAUCCCAACUUUAUAAAAAAACCAGUACCAAAUUCUUGACGUAAAAUAGCAAUGAAUGAAGAGAUGUGCCCCAAUCUCCCCAUCCUUCUUGCAUAACAAACAUACAUUAGGGAGAAUUUUCCUCCUUUGGAUCAAAUUUUCAAUGGUCUGAAUUUUAUCCUGAGCUGUCAGCCAAAUAAAAAUUUGAACUUUGUGUGGGAUCGACCAUUUCCAUAUUUUGGCGAUGUGCAUGCAUGACCAUCUCCAUCGGUCAUGAAAAAAAAGAUUGUAGUAAGAUUUUACAGAGAAAACACCAUCACUCUCCAUCUCCCAGAUCAACUUAUCACCGGCAUUUUGAGAUAAAUACACUUUAUGCAACAACUCCAUGAGUUGGCACCAUUGUACUAACAAUACAUUAUUCAGUCGGCUGUAUGCUAAAGAAAUAUCCCAUGAAAUGUACUGGCCCCUGGUUUCUGUUGCCUCACAAAGAGACCAUUUUUCUUUUGUACAUGAAAGUCCCAAUCAUUCCCACACAUUAGAUGUCAUAUUAGAUGACUUGGGGUGAUUCACGAAGUCCGAAAAUAUUUUUUUUGAACUUUGUAUCUAUUCAAUGACACUCUUACAACCACUCAUCUUGAAAUUUAAAGGACAAGAAUGAUUGACUUCCAUGUACAAAAGAUAUAUUUUUGUACAAAUGUUUUGGUUGUGUUAUUGAUAAAUGAGAAACAAUGUUGUCAACAAAACUUGGUCCAUCCAAACAAGCCAAAUUGUAGAAGGUGUCACCGUAUUUAAUAAAGAACAAAGUUAAAAACGAAAUUUAUCAAAAUACACAUAAGAGAUGAACUAUACAACAUCUCACAUAUCUAGGCCCAAAUAAGGAUAUGCUCUUUUUAAUUGAAUUUUUAAAAUUAAAUUUGAAGAUAAAGGUAAUAUGUUAAUUUGUUCAUCUCCUAUGAGUAUUUGAUAAUUUCUCUAAACCAAGAUUGGUUAUUAUAGCAAUGGUGAAAGGCCCAUGUUCUUACCUAGUAACACAUAAAGUAAAGCAACACAGAAAAGGAAAGGAAGACAAAAAUCAGGCAAGGAGUUGGAGGAGGGACAGGACAACGCGGAAAAGCUUGCUUAGGAGAAGGUGGUGAUCCAUGAGGACAAACAUUUUGUUUCACUAUCUGGAGACUCUGCAAUUCCACCUACAGUUUCCGGGAAUGACACAGCAUCCACAACCUGUACAACGUCUAUAAAAGUGCCACGGUGACCGUCAUUGGGAACUAUUUCAUAGCCACUUAUAUCCAAUUUGAGCACUAGCUCCUAAAAGUAGGGCAGAAAAGGGGCAAGCAGUGUAUGUAAGAGUAUUUGGGGAUAAAACAGUUUUCUACCAUUGUGGCGUUGGCUUUGUCGGAUACCAAAAUGCUUUGUAUGAUGAGUAGGGCCUCCACUAUUUCAGCGAGUAUUUCACUCAAGAUGCCAUUCAGAAUGUCAUUGAUUUCAUUUGUGGCAACAGUCGAUCCCUCUAUGAGGAUUGCCACUUGAAUUUUAUUGGCGAAAGCAAAUCUUGGAUCACAGCCCAAAAUAGAGAUAAGGAAUCCAAUAAAACCGGAUUCUCCUUGAUAGGAGGUCAUAUCACGGGACCUGGGCAUGGGACGGUGCAUUUAAGACGACCAUGGGGUCAAUUCUCAACCCAAAUGGAUGAAGGGGUAGCACCUCAAGGUUGGGACAGUUUUUGGUCAAAUGAAGACCAAAGCAAGGGGGCCACACUGACGCCAACGACGAAGAAACACAAUUAUCACUUGCACAAUAGCUAUUUGCAGCUAAUAAACAUAAUACUUUGUCUAAUCCACCUACUCUUAUGGGCACUCGUAGUUUUUCUUUAUUUUGUAAUUGGCUUUUAACACUAUUUAUUUCUUUGAGUUUUGGUUUGUGAAUAAAUUCAAAA